CCUCGGGAGGCAGCAGUGAGGAAUAUUUGUCAAUGGCCGAGAGGCUGAACCAGCCAAGUCGCGUGAGGGAAGACGGCCCUACGGGUUGUAAACCUCUUUUGUCGGGGAGCAAAGCGAACCACGUGUGGUUCAUUGAGAGUACCCGAAGAAAAAGCAUCGGCUAACUCCGUGCCAGCAGCCGCGGUAAUACGGGGGAUGCGAGCUUUUGCCGGUUUUUUUGGGUUAAAAGGGGGCGCAGGCGGUGGUGCACGUUAGCGGGCAAAUUGCGGGGCUCAACCCCGUACUGCCGUUGAAACUGCAUCCCUUGAGUGCGCGAGAGGUAUGCGGAAUGCGUGGUGUAGCGGUGAAAUGCAUAGAGAUCACGCAGAACUCCGAUUGCGAAGGCAGCAUACCGGCGCGCAACUGACGCUCAGGCACGAAAGCGUGGGUAUCGAACAGGAUUAGAUACCCCUGUAGUC
rnacentral:rRNA from 1 species